rnacentral:rRNA from 1 species
AUUGAACGCUGGCGGCAUGCCUUACACAUGCAAGUCGAACGGUAACGGGCCUUCGGGUGCCGACGAGUGGCGAACGGGUGAGUAAUACAUCGGAACGUGCCCGAUCGUGGGGGAUAACGAGGCGAAAGCUUUGCUAAUACCGCAUACGAUCUACGGAUGAAAGCAGGGGACCGCACGGCCUUGCGCGGACGGAGCGGCCGAUGGCAGAUUAGGUAGUUGGUGGGAUAAAAGCUUACCAAGCCGACGAUCUGUAGCUGGUCUGAGAGGAUGAUCAGCCACACUGGGACUGAGACACGGCCCAGACUCCUACGGGAGGCAGCAGUGGGGAAUUUUGGACAAUGGGCGCAAGCCUGAUCCAGCCAUGCCGCGUGCAGGAUGAAGGCCUUCGGGUUGUAAACUGCUUUUGUACGGAACGAAAAGCCUUCUUUUAAUACAGGAGGGUCAUGACGGUACCGUAAGAAUAAGCACCGGCUAACUACGUG